rnacentral:rRNA from 1 species
AACGAACGCUGGCGGCAGGCUUAACACAUGCAAGUCGAGCGCCCCGCAAGGGGAGCGGCAGACGGGUGAGUAACGCGUGGGAAUCUACCCAUCUCUACGGAAUAACGCAUGGAAACGUGUGCUAAUACCGUAUACGUCCUUCGGGAGAAAGAUUUAUCGGAGAUGGAUGAGCCCGCGUUGGAUUAGCUAGUUGGUGGGGUAAAGGCCUACCAAGGCGACGAUCCAUAGCUGGUCUGAGAGGAUGAUCAGCCACACUGGGACUGAGACACGGCCCAGACUCCUACUGGAGGCAGCAGGGGGGAAUAUUGGACAAUGGGCGCAAGCCUGAUCCAGCCGUGCCGCGUGAGUGAUGAAGGCCCUAGGGUUGUAAAGCUCUUUCACCGGUGAAGAUAAUGACGGUAACCGGAGAAGAAGCCCCGGCUAACUUCGUGCCAGCCGCCGCCGCAGUAA